rnacentral:lncRNA from 1 species
AAAGAUCAUCAAAGGCUGUCCCAGCCCCUCUGCCAGGACAGGACACACCUUCCACUAGACCAGGUUGCUCAGAGCCCCAUGCGGUGUAUACUCAUUGCUCAAGCGAAGUGAGAAAAGCUUUGUCUCAUGCUGUUGCUUAUCUCCUCUGCUCUUGUCCUAGGAAGAUUUUUCAGGAUAGCGGCAUUUCAAAAAGUGUUGGAUCUGACUCGUCCUUUCACAUGGAAAUUUCCUGAAUGUCCCCACUGAUAAUGAGCAGAUUGAUGCAAAGCCAACAGGUCAGGAGAGGGGAUUCUGCCCCUCAGCUCUGCUCUGCUGAGACCCACCUGGAGUGCUGCAUCCAGCUCUGGGAUCCCCAGCACAGGAAAGACAUGAACCUGUUGGAGUGAGCCCAGGGGAGGCCAGCAAGAUGAUCAGAGGGAUGGAGCACCUCUCGCACAAGGAAAGGUGAGGGAAUUUGGUUUGUUUAGCCUGGAAAAGAGAAGGCUUUUUGCUGUUUGCAGCCUUCCAGUACCUAAAAGGACUGUACAAGAAAAAUGGAGAAGGACUUUUUACAAGAGCAUGUCGUUAUAGGAGAAAUAGAAUCAAAU